GACGGAGGAUGCAAGUGUUAUCCGGAAUCACUGGGCGUAAAGCGUCUGUAGGUGGUUUAAAAAGUCCACUGUUAAAGAUUGAAGCUUAACUUCAAAAAUGCCGUGGAAACUUUUAAACUUGAGUAUGAUAGGGGUAGAGGGAAUUUCCAGUGGAGCGGUGAAAUGCGUAGAUAUUGGAAAGACCACCAAUGGCGAAGGCACUCUACUGGGCCAUUACUGACACUGAGAGACGAAAGCUAGGGGAGCAGAUGGG
rnacentral:rRNA from 1 species